CGUUGAGGGGCUUUGUGGCGUCACAGAAGCGAUGCUGUCCUGCAGCGCCUCCUUCUCUGGCUCUCAUCGCCUGCCUUCCACCCACAGGCUGGUGCUGCAGCCGCGGUGAUGUCACUUCGAGACCUCUGAGGAGACCUUCCUGACCCAGGAAUCGAACAUGCGUCUCCUGAACCAUGGGAGCAUUCUUUACCUGCUGAGACAUCGGGAAGCCUGCUGCUGAAAUAUUCCACGUCCCCAGAGCCAGAGGCCCAAGAAAGAAAACCAGCUGGGACUCUGAUGACAAUGACCCCCAAGUGGCUGGUCCAGAGCAACGAAGUGGCCGUGGUACCCUGACCAUUGACAUCAUCUGCUCCUGACCUGCAGCCAUCAAUGAUCCAAGAUCACUCAAAGCAGAUACAUCUCCUUCUGAGUUUCACCCAAAGUCAAUAGUAGCCUCAAGAGCACACUAAAUCAACUUAAUGCAGAUGGAGACAACAGAAGAAUAGAUAUAACUAUUCAUCACGGCAGAGGGUCGGACAUGACUCAACGACGGAACAACAGCCACAGACAAUUCAUCAUGGCGGCCAGCAACAAGGACGCGUCUGGGAUCGUCCAUGAGAUUCCUUACAAGCCAGAGAUGAAAAUCUAGGUUAUUUGAAGGUGUAUUCCUGAUGUAUCCGUGGAGAGAGAUGUACUCCACGUCCACCAACUCCUCUGCCAUCUUUGAAUUUCUCUAGUAUCUGCAAAGUUGCGAUCUUCUGGCUGAAGGGGGAUGGAGUCGAGGCCAGCUUUGCCCAGUGCCAGCACGCCUGGCAAAUUCCGAUAGGAUCUCCUUAGUCGCCAUAGAGUUUCCGAGCAUCCCAAGGAAAAUGCAUGAAGCUGGAGCCCAUGCAGCUGGCACCGAACUGUCAGCUGUGGCGCGGUGAUUCCCAGCUUGUCACUCCCAGAGGCUGGGUUGGUCACGACCCUGGGACUGGAGAGUCCAUUUGUAAAAUAGAGUGGAGUACACGCGGAAUCCUAGCUAGCGAUUUCUUGGCUUGAGACUCUUGGGUCUACUGGAUUCCUUUUUAUUUCCUGAAAGCCAUGGGGUGAGCCAGUGGUCGCCAGUCGCAUCUAAGCAGAUGCUGCUCCAGCUUUGCCAAAUCUCGGCUAUUAGAAUCAGUUCCUUGGGCAUCCCUGGUCAGUAAAGUUUAGGCCUGUCUCAGUGCUUAAGGGUGGGGGAUAAAACAGGCAGAGACCUAAGUCUCCACUGGAAACGUGAUAGUGGUGGAGUGAUGGGGUUGUAAGAAAGAGGCCAUUCUGAGUGAUAGGUUAUCUUUCAAAGGAAGGAAAAGUACUGGACAAGGAAGCAUACUAUCUAGAUCAAGGAAUGCAUGUCUAAAGGGCUACAGAGAAGGGGAAGAGAAGCAGGCUCCCUGAGCACAGGGAAAGCAAGGAGAUUGAGGCUGAUAGCCCAUAUCCAUUAAUCCCCUAGGGAAGCUUGUGAAAUAGGGGAGUAUGUGGAGGAAGGGUGGCCCUUAAUAAUUUGUCUGUUCUUUAAAAAAAUCUUUUUAAAACUGAAGUGUAGUUGAUUUAUAAUGCUGUUUUAGUUUUGGGUGCAUGGCAAAGUGAUCCAUUUAUACAUGCAUAUAUAUCUGUUUUUUUUUGUUUUUUCAGAUUCUUUUCUCUUAUUUUUUUUUUUCUCUUAUAGGUUAUUACAAAAUAUUGAGUAUAGUUCAAUAAGGGUCUAUUCUUUGACUGCUCUGUGCGCUAGGAAGGCAUUUGGCUGUCUGCUCUUGUCUUAGGCCAGUACUAAGAUAUUAAGCCAGUACCUCUUAUAAUUAGCAUGUUGCCUGUGGUUUCCCCUCUCUUCAGCUAUUCCCCCCCUCCCCAGCCUGUUUCAGGGUUUUCUUCCUAUGAGGAUUCCUAUUGUCUUAUUCUAUCAAAUGUUAUUCCUGUGAGUGAGGUUUGUUCAGUACCUUCUUCCCUUUCUCUAAAGUACCUGGACUGAACUCCUGAUGCUUCUUUAAAGAAGCAACAAUAAAUGAAGAUGAACAAUUAUUUAUUGAGCAUCUACCCAAUAUGUGUAAGGCCCUGGGAAAGCCACGACCAGUGAAACAGUCUUUCCCUUAAGAAGGGGACAUCCUCUUAGGGAGGCACCUUUUAAGAGGGGAAAAUACAAUUACAAGCAAGUGUAUAUAAUAUAAUGUGCGUGCAUGCCCAGUCCCUUCAGUCCUGUCUGACUCUCUGUGACCUGUGGACCAUA